rnacentral:snRNA from 13 species
AUUAUUUUUUCUAAAAAAAAUAAAAAAAAAAAAAAUCUGUUCUUAUCAGUUUAAUAUCUGAUACGUCCCCCAUCGGGGGACUACAUAUUAAAUGGAUUUUUCGAACAGGGAGUCGGAAAUGGGGCUUGCUCCGUCCGCUCCACGCAUCGACCCGGUAUUGCAGUACCUCCGGGAACGGUGCAACACUU